AUCUAAUCACUUAUUCCUUCAUGCGUUUGCUUCGAUCUCGAUCUCACUAAAUUUCAAUCUCAAUCUGGCUCUUGUUCGAUCUGCUCUCGCUCUCUUCUCGAUCUCGUUCUAGCUCGAUCUCGAUUCUCGAUAUCUUUCUGUCGUUGUCGCCGUCGUCCUACAGGUAGGUCAUCCUUUGAUCCUCAAUGUGUUUAUUUAUGUUACGAAUUCGUGGCCAACCCCUAAUUUAGUGUUUUUUAAUUCCAAAAUAUGUUAAUAUAUGCAUUGAUUUUAAUUAUAAAUUAUGAUUACUGCAGUUGAUUUUCAGGAAAUUAAAUUCCCUAUGUUUAGCACUAUGGAAUUCAAACAAAUUUUAGUCUAAGACUUCUGAUCUCUCUGUUUUUCAUUCCUCAAUUCUUUCAAGGGCUUCGAUUCACUUUUUUUGGGGGAGAUUUUCUAGGGCUUCUUACUCUGAAACUAUUGGAGGAUGUGGUUUUGAUUCUUCGAAUAAAGUUCAAGGAAUUG